GACGAACGCUGGCGGCGCGCUUAACACAUGCAAGUCGAACGGAAAGGCCUGCUUUCCCUUGUGGAUUGCGGGUACUCGAGUGGCGAACGGGUGAGUAACACGUGAGUGAUCUGCCCCCAACUUGGGUAUAAGCCUGGGAAACUGUGUCUAAUUCCCGAUAGGACUGCAGUGUGGUGCCUGUGGUGGAAAACGAUUUUCUAGUGGUUGGGGAUGAGCUCGCGGCCUAUCAGCUUGUUGGUGGGGUAAUGGCCUACCAAGGCGGCGACGGGUAGCCGGCCUGAGAGGGUGGACGGCCACAUUGGGACUGAGAUACGGCCCAGACUCCUACGGGAGGCAGCAGUGGGGAAUAUUGCACAAUGGGCGGAAGCCUGAUGCAGCGACGCCGCGUGGGGGAUGACGGCCUUCGGGUUGUAAACUCCUUUCGACCGCGAGGAAGCCACCUGGUUGGAAGGGUGGUGACGGUAGUGGUAGAAGAAGCACCGGCUAACUACGUG
rnacentral:rRNA from 1 species